UCUUAUAGUUACGAUGAUACUUUUGAAAAUUUGUCUACGUAAAAAUAUUGAAUACAUUAUAAAUACAGCCAGUAAAUCGAACUAAAGUUGCUCUUUUGAACUUUGAAGAUCAAAGGUUGUCCCUUUCACGCGCAAUUUUUUGCAAGUCUGCACCGGGAUUUUCACCUGAUGAACAGCUUGGAGUAGGCUCUGUAGGUGGUCUAUCAAUUGAAGCAUCUAAUAAGUAUUCGACAUCUUGAAAUUCAAAAAGUGAAUCAUCGUCAUUCUCCAGAACGCUACCUGGAAUAUG